UACGUAGGGUGCAAGCGUUAAUCGGAAUUACUGGGCGUAAAGCGUGCGCAGGCGGUUGUGCAAGACAGAUGUGAAAUCCCCGGGCUUAACCUGGGAAUUGCAUUUGUGACUGCACGGCUAGAGUGUGUCAGAGGGGGGUAGAAUUCCACGUGUAGCAGUGAAAUGCGUAGAUAUGUGGAGGAAUACCGAUGGCGAAGGCAGCCCCCUGGGAUAACACUGACGCUCAUGCACGAAAGCGUGGGGAGCAAACAAGG
rnacentral:rRNA from 1 species